rnacentral:rRNA from 2 species
AAGGUUGACCUCGGAUCAGGUAGGACUACCCGCUGAACUUAAGCAUAUCAAUAA